rnacentral:rRNA from 1 species
AUUGAACGCUGGCGGCAGGCCUAACACAUGCAAGUCGAACGAGUGGCGGACGGGUGAGUAAUGUCUGGGAAACUGCCUGAUGGAGGGGGAUAACUACUGGAAACGGUAGCUAAUACCGCAUACCAUCAGAUGUGCCCAGAUGGGAUUAGCUUGUUGGUGGGGUAACGGCUCACAAAGGCGACGAUGCCUAGCUGGUCUGAGCGGGUGACCAGCCAGACUGGAACUGAGACACGGUCCAGACUCCUACGGGAGGCAGAAGUGGGGAAUAUUGGACAAUGGGCGAAAGCCUGAUGGAGCCAUGCCGCGUGUGUGAAGAAGGUCUUCGGGGUGUAAAGUACUUUCAGCGGGGAGGCGUUACCCGCAGAGAAAGCACCGGCUAACUCCGUGCCAGCAGCCGCGGUAAUAC